rnacentral:rRNA from 1 species
AGAGGAAGUAAAAGUCGUAACAAGGUUUCCGUAGGUGAACCUGCGGAAGGAUCAUUAAAGAGUUUAGAGACUUCGGUCUACUACUCCACCCUUUGUUUACAAUACCAUUGUUGCUUUGGCAGGCCCGUCGUAAGACAACCGGCUUCGGCUGGUCAGUGCCUGCCAGAGGACCUAAAACUCAUGUUUAUAUUAUUGUCUGAGUACUAUAUAAUAGUUAAAACUUUCAACAACGGAUCUCUUGGUUCUGGCAUCGAUGAAGAACGCAGCGAAAUGCGAUAAGUAAUGUGAAUUGCAGAAUUCAGUGAAUCAUCGAAUCUUUGAACGCACAUUGCGCCCUCUGGUAUUCCGGGGGGCAUGCCUGUUCGAGCGUCAUUACAACCCUCAAGCUCUGCUUGGUAUUAGGCUUCACCCUUAGGGGCGGGCCUUAAAAUCAGUGGCGGUGCCAUCCGGCUUCAAGCGUAGUAAUUUUCUCGCUUUGGAGGACCGGGUGUGUGUUUGCCAAUAACCCCAAUAUUUUUAAAGGUUGACCUCGGAUCAGGUAGGGAUACCCGCUGAACUUAAGCAUAUC